rnacentral:rRNA from 1 species
GAGGCCUACCAUGGUGGUAACGGGUAACGGGGUGUUAGGGCACGACACCGGAGAGGGAGCCUGAGAAACGGCUACCACAUCCAAGGAUGGCAGCAGGCGCGCAAAUUACCCAAUCCCGACACGGGGAGGUAGUGACAAUAAAUAACAAUACGGGGUUCUUUAGGAUCUCGUAAUUGGAAUGAGUACAAUUUAAAUCUCUUAACGAGGAACAAUUGGAGGGCAAGUCUGGUGCCAGCAGCCGCGGUAAUUCCAGCUCCAAUAGCGUAUAUUAAAGUUGUUGCAGUUAAAAAGCUCGUAGUUGAAUUUCGGGGUUAGUAGGUUGGUCAUGCCUCUGGUAUGUACUGGUCUCACUGAUUCCUCCUUCCUUAUGAACCGUAAUGCCAUUAAUUUGGUGUUGCGGGGAAUUUGGACUGUUACUUUGAAAAAAUUAGAGUGUUUAAAGCAAGCUAACGCUUGAAUACAUUAGCAUGGAAUAAUGAAAUAGGACGUUCGAUCUUAUUUUGUUGGUUUCUGGGAUUGACGUAAUGAUUAAUAGGGAUAGUUGGGGGCAUUAGUAUUCAAUUGUCAGAGGUGAAAUUCUCGGAUUUAUUGAAGACUAACUACUGCGAAAGCAUUUGCCAAGGAUGUUUUCAUUAAUCAAGAACGAAAGUUAGGGGAUCGAAGACGAUCAGAUACCGUCGUAGUCUUAACCAUAAACUAUGCCGACUAGGGAUCGGAUGA